CCUACGGGAGGCAGCAGUGAGGAAUAUUGGUCAAUGGGCGGGAGCCUGAACCAGCCAAGUCGCGUGAGGGAAGACGGUCCUAUGGAUUGUAAACCUCUUUAGGCGGGGAGCAAUGCCGGGCACGCGUGCCCGGAGGGAGAGUACCCGCAGAAUAAGCAUCGGCUAACUCCGUGCCAGCAGCCGCGGUAAUACGGAGGAUCCAAGCGUUAUCCGGAUUUAUUGGGUUUAAAGGGUGCGUAGGCGGUUUUAUAAGUUAGAGGUGAAAUCUCGGGGCUCAACUCCGAAAUUGCCUCUAAUACUGUAGG
rnacentral:rRNA from 1 species